AGAAUCAACGCUGGCGGCGUGCCUAACACAUGCAAGUCGCACGAGAAAGGGGAGCAAUCCCUGAGUACAGUGGCGCACGGGUGAGUAACACGUGAAUAAUCUACCUCCGAGUGGGGAAUAACUGAGAGAAAUCUUAGCUAAUACCGCAUAACACUUACGGGUCAAAGCAGCAAUGCGCUUGGAGAGGAGUUCGCGGCCGAUUAGUUAGUUGGCGGGGUAAUGGCCCACCAAGACGAUGAUCGGUA
rnacentral:rRNA from 1 species